rnacentral:rRNA from 1 species
AACCUCCGCAAUGUGAGAAAUCGCGACGGGGGGAUCCCAAGUGCUAUUCUUAACGGGAUGGCUUUUCAUUAGUGUAAAGAGCUUUUGGAAUAAGGGCUGGGCAAGACCGGUGCCAGCCGCCGCGGUAACACCGGCAGCUCUAGUGGUAGCAGUUUUUAUUGGGCCUAAAGCGUCCGUAGCCGGUUUAAUAAGUCUCUGGUGAAAUCCUGUAGCUUAACUGUGGGAAUUGCUGGAGAUACUAUUAGACUUGAGAUCGGGAGAGGUUAGAGGUACUCCCAGGGUAGAGGUGAAAUUCUGUAAUCCUGGGAGGACCGCCUGUUGCGAAGGCGUCUAACUGGAACGAUUCUGACGGUGAGGGACGAAAGUUAGGGGCGCGAACCGGAUUAGAUACCCGGGUAGUCCUAACUGUAAACGAUGCGGACUUGGUGUUGGGGUGGCUUUGAGCUGCUCCAGUGCCGAAGGGAAGCUGUUAAGUCCGCCGCCUGGGAAGUACGGUCGCAAGACUGAAACUUAAAGGAAUU